UUGAACGCUGGCGGCAGGCCUAACACAUGCAAGUCGAGCGGAUGAAGGGAGCUUGCUCCUGGAUUCAGCGGCGGACGGGUGAGUAAUGCCUAGGAAUCUGCCUGGUAGUGGGGGAUAACGUCCGGAAACGGGCGCUAAUACCGCAUACGUCCUGAGGGAGAAAGUGGGGGAUCUUCGGACCUCACGCUAUCAGAUGAGCCUAGGUCGGAUUAGCUAGUUGGUGGGGUAAAGGCCUACCAAGGCGACGAUCCGUAACUGGUCUGAGAGGAUGAUCAGUCACACUGGAACUGAGACACGGUCCAGACUCCUACGGGAGGCAGCAGUGGGGAAUAUUGGACAAUGGGCGAAAGCCUGAUCCAGCCAUGCCGCGUGUGUGAAGAAGGUCUUCGGAUUGUAAAGCACUUUAAGUUGGGAGGAAGGGCAGUAAGUUAAUACCUUGCUGUUUUGACGUUACCAACAGAAUAGGCACCGGCUAACUUCGUG
rnacentral:rRNA from 1 species